rnacentral:rRNA from 1 species
AUGAACGCUGGCGGCGUGCCUAAUACAUGCAAGUCGAGCGAACAGACGAGGAGCUUGCUCCUCUGACGUUAGCGGCGGACGGGUGAGUAACACGUGGAUAACCUACCUAUAAGACUGGGAUAACUUCGGGAAACCGGAGCUAAUACCGGAUAAUAUAUUGAACCGCAUGGUUCAAUAGUGUAAGACGGUUUUGCUGUCACUUAUAGAUGGAUCCGCGCCGCAUUAGCUAGUUGGUAAGGUAACGGCUUACCAAGGCAACGAUGCGUAGCCGACCUGAGAGGGUGAUCGGCCACACUGGAACUGAGACACGGUCCAGACUCCUACGGGAGGCAGCAGUAGGGAAUCUUCCGCAAUGGGCGAAAGCUUGACGGAGCAACGCCGCGUGAGUGAUGAAGGUCUUCGGAUCGUAAAACUCUGUUAUUAGGGAAGAACAAAUGUGUAAGUAACUAUGCACGUCUUGACGGUACCUAAUCAGAAAGCCACGGCUAACUACGUG